rnacentral:lncRNA from 1 species
CACAACUUGUGGACUUGUUUAGUGCUGCAGUGCAUUUUGUUGCUAGCGUUACUUUGCUACCUGCCAACUUUACGGGUGUUACUUUUUAAUUACCGUUUUAUAUUUGUUCCCUCGCGCGACUUUUUUAAUUCUCCUUUUUCCACACCGGAUGCUUUAUCUGGACAUGGUUCUACACGACCUUCACCAGCCGAAGCUAAGUAGUAACAUUAUGCCUUCUAAUUGCAGUCGCUGUACUCAUGAUACACAGGAGAAUGAUAGCCUUAUGAGGAGGAUAGCCGUGCUGCAAGCCCAGCUUCAGACGUACUCGUUAGGCAAGGGUAAUUUAAGUGUAGGAAAGGAUGAAACGGCGUCUGUGCCACAAAUACAGAUAGUAGUAUAAAUCCCCUCACACAGUCCCCGCAGCCGGACAAUUUUCUCAUGGCUUCUGGAAGGAAAUGCUGUAGGAAUGCUCAACCGGUGUCGCUCAUUCAGCCGACAGAAACUUUCAACCUGUUCUCCCCAUUAAGCAAUGAGUCGGAGUCAGAGGCCGAGCCUUCUCUGGUCUCUCCUCCACCCGUUACGGGGUCUGAGACGCCAAAGCCUCCCACCAUUAGCUCUGACAAAUUGAAAACCCUAGUCAUUGGCGACUUCAUUAGCCGCAGUAUUAGACUUAAAACGAAUCAUCCAGCGAUCAUACACUGUUUACCAGGGGGCAGGGCUACCCUGAAGAUGGUGCAGGCUAAAACUGGCGAGUAUAGAGAUAUUGUUAUCCACGUCGGCACCAACGAUGUUAGGAUGAAACAGUCAGAGGUCACCAAGCGCAACAUAGCCUCAGCGUGUAAAUCAGCUAGAAAAUGUGUCGGCAUCGAGUAAUUGUUUCUGGGGAGUGAUGAGCUCUACAGCAGAGUCUCACAACUUAAUCGCUGGUUGAAAACUGUUUUCUGUCCCUCCCAAAAGAUAGAAUUUGUAGAUAAUUGGCCCUCUUUUUAUGACUCACCCACAAACAGGACCUGGCCUGCUGAGGAGUGAUGGAUUCCAUCCUAGCUGGAGGGGUGCUCUCAUUUCUCUAUGAACAUAGACAGGGCUCUAACUCCUCUAGCUCCACAAUGAGAUAGGGUGCAGGCCAGGCAGCAGGCUGUUAGCCAGCCUGCCAGCUUAGUGGAGUCUGCCACUAGCACAGUCAGUGUAGUCAGCUCAGCUAUCCCCAUUGAGACGUGUCUGUGCCUCGAUCUAGGUUGGGCAAAAUUAAAGAUGGCUGUGUUCGCUUCAGCAAUCUCAAUGAAAUAAAGACCUCCUCCAUUCCUGUCAUUAUUGAAAGAGAUUGUGAAAUCUCACAUCUCAAAAUAGGGCUACUUAAUGUCAUUAACUAAUCACAAUCUUGAUUAUGAUUGACCCAACUGAAACAUGGCUUAAGCCUAAUAAAUUUACUUUGUUAAAUGAGGCCUCUCCGCCUUAUUACACUAGUGACCAUAUCCCUCGUGCAUCCCGCAAAGGCGGAGGUGUUGCAAACAUUUACGAUACAUAAUUUCAAUUUACAAUUAAAAACGACUGUGUUUUUGUCUUUUGAGCUUCUAGUCAUGAAAUCUAUGUAGUCUACUCAAUCACUUUUUAUAGCUACUAUUUACAGGCCUCCUGGGCCGUAUACAGCGUUCCUCACUGAGUUCCCUGAAUUCCUAUCGGACCUUGUAGUCAUGGCAGAUAAUAUUCACAUUUUUGGUGACUUUAAUAUUGUUAGGGUUGAACUGGCUAUUUGUAUGCAUAACCUUUAUAAUAUACUGGGGAAGCUAUGCUACAAUAUUAAGUAUAUGAACUGCGAGUAAAUCAACUGAAGACAAGAAGAACUACAACCGGCAACAGGAAGUGCGUCACGACGCUGGGAUCAGCCUACACGCCGACGACAGGAGGAGCAAGUUUAAACCACGCUCCUCCUCCCUCGGACAGGCCAGCAUUGAGCAGGAACUAUCUCUGUUAGAGUAUAAAAGAGAACAAUAGGAUGUGUCGCUCUCUUCUCUGUUUUGCCCUGCGAGGUAAAACAGCGAGACCGUAUAUAUACGAACCACACAUAUACCACACACGUGUUUGCAUUAAUUAAAGUACAGCUAAAUCAGAAGUUACUAUGUGAUGACUAUUUUGUUCUGUUACCAGAAAAGAACUGUCGCAACAUUAACAAUAUUCACAUGAAAAAGUCCACAGACCCACUCCAAAAGACUUUCGGAGCCAUCAUCGACUAAGUGGGUUUUGUCCAACAUGUCUCCAGACCUACUCGCUGCCACAGUCAUACUCUGGACCUAGUUCUGUCCCGUGGAAUAAAUAUUGUGGAUCAAAAUGUUUUUCCUCGUAAUCCUGGACUAUCGAACCACCAUUUUAUUACAUUUGCAGUCGCAAUGAAUAAUCUGCUCAGACCCCAACCAAGGAUCAUCAAAAGCUAUGCGUCAGAGUACAACAAUAGGUUAACCACCUGAGGAACUUAAUUUAACCUUGCAUAAUACUAUACAGUCACACUCCUAAAAACAAACAAAAUAUUGUCAUAAGAAACUCGCUCCCUGGUAUACAGAAAAUACCUGAGCCCUGGAGCAAGUUUCCAGAAAAUUGGAAUGGAAAUGGCGCUACACCAAACUGGAAGUCUUCCGAUUAGCUUGGAAAGACAGUACCGUGCAGUAUCGAAGAGCCCUCACUCCUGCUCGAUCAUCCUAUUUUUCCAACUUAAUUGAGGAGAAUAAGAACAAUCCUACAUUUAUUUUUGAUACUGUCGCAAAGCUAACUAAAAAGCAGCAUUCCCCAAGAGAGGAUGGCUUUCAUUUCAGCAGUGAUAAAUUCAUGAACUUCUUUGACGAAAAGAUAAUUAGAAAGCAAAUUACGGACUCCUCUUUAUUUCUCCAAAGCUCAGUUGUCCUGAGUCUGCACAAUACUGCCAGGACCUAGGAUCAAGGGAGACACUAAAGUUUUUUUUAAUACUAAAUCUCUUGACACAAUGAUGAAAAUAGUCAUGGCCUCUAAACCUUCAAGCUGCAUACUGGACCCUGUUCCAACUAAACUACUGAAAGAGCUGCUUCCUGUGCUUGGCCCUUCUAUGUUGAACGUAAUAAAUGGCUCCCUAUCCACCGGAUGUGUACCAAACUCACUAAAAGUGGCAGUAAUAAAGCCUCUCUUGAAAAAGCCAAACCUUUACCCAGAAAAUAUAAACUAUCGGCCUCUAUCAAAUCUCCCAUUCCUCCCAAAAAAAUUGAAAAAGCUGUUGCGCAGCAACUCACUGCCUUGCUGAAGACUAACAAUGUAUACGAAACGCUUCAUUCUGGUUUUAGACCCCAUCAUAGCACUGAGACUGCACUCGCGAAGGUGGUAAAUUACCUUUUAUUGGCGUCAGACAAAGGCUCUGCAUCUGUCCUCGUGCUCCUAGACCUUGGUGCUGAUUUAUUUAAUUUUUUCAUUGAUCACCACAUUCUUUUGGAGAGAUUGGAAACCCAAAUUGGUCUACACGGACAACUUCUGGCCUGGUUUAGAUCUUAUCUGUCGGAAAGAUAUCAGUUUCUCUGUGGGUGAUUUGUCCUCUGACAAAUCAACUGUAAAUUUCGGUGUUCCUCAAGGUUCCGUUUUAUAUUUUACCACUUGGUGAUGUCAUUCGGAAACAUAAUGUUAACUUUCACUGCUAUGCGGAAGAUACACAGCUGUACAUUUCGAUGAAACAUGGUGAAGCCCCGAAAUUGCCCUCCCUGGAAGCCUGUGUUUCAGCCAUAAGGAAGUGGAUGGCGGCAAAUGUUUUACUUUUAAACUCGGACAAAACAAAAUGCUAGUUCUAGGUCCCAAGAAACAAAGAGAUCUUCUGUUGGAUCUGCCAAUUAAUCUUGAUGGUUGUACAGUCAUCUCAAAUAAAACUGUAAAGGACAUAGGUGUUACUCUGGACCGUGAUCUCUCUUUUGACGAACAUAUCAAGACUGGUUCAAGGACAGCUUUUUUCCAUCUACGUAACAUUGCAAAAAUCAAACUCUCUGUCUAAAAAUUAUGCAGAGAAAUUAAUCCAUGCUUUUGUCACUUCCAGAUUAGACUACUGCAAUACUCUACUUUCCGGCUACCGAUAAAGCACUAAAUAAACUUCAGUUAGUGCUAAACACGGCUGCUAGAAUCCUGACUAGAACCAAAAAAUGUGAUCAUAUUACUCCAGUUCUAGCCUCUCUACACUGGCUUCCUGUUAAGGCUAGGGCUGAUUUCAAGGUUUUACUGCUGACCUACAAAGCAAAGCGUUACAUGGGCUUGCUACUAUCUAUCUUUUCCCGAUUUGGUCCUGCCGUACAUACUUACACAUACGCUACGGUCACAAGACGCAGGCCUCCUUAUUGUCCCUGGACUUUCUAAGCAAACAGCUGGAGGCAGGGCUUUCUCCAAUAGAGCUCUCAACAUUUAAGUCUUUAUUGAAGACUCAUCUCUUCAGUAGGUCCUAUGAUUGAGUGUAGUCUGGCCCAGGGGUGUGAAGGUGAACGGAAAGGCACUGGAGCAACGAACCACCCUUGCUCUCUCUGCCUGGCCGGUUCCCCUCUCCACUGGGAUUCUCUGCCUCUAACCCUAUUACUGAGUCACUGGCUUACUGGUGUUCUUCCAUGCUGUUCCUAGGAGGGGUGCGUCACUUGAGUGGGCUGAGUCACUGGCUUACUGGUGCUCUUCCAUGCCGUCCCAAGGAGGGGUGCGUCACUUGAGUGGGUUGAGUCACUGACGUGGUCUUCCUGUCUGGGUUGGCGCCCCCCCUUGGGUUGUGCCGUGGCGGAGAUCUUUAUGGGCUAUACUCGGCCUUGUCUCAGGAUGGACCUGAGCCCUAGGACCAUGCCUCAGGACUACCUGGCAUGAUGACACCUUGCUGUCCUCAGUCCACCUGGCCGUGCUGCUGCUCCAGUUUCAACUGUUCUGCCUGCGGCUAUGGAACCCUGACCAGUUCACCGGACGUGCUACCUGUCUCAGACCUGCUGUUUUCGACUGUAGAGACAGCAGGAGCGGUAGAGAUACUCUCAAUGAUCGGCUAUGAAAAGCCAACUGACAUUUACUCGAUGUGCUGACUUGUUGCACCCUCGACAACUACUGUGAUUAUUAUUAUUUGACCAUGCUGGUCAUUUAUGAACAUUUGAACAUCUUGGCCAUGUUCUGUUAUAAUCUCCAAAUGACACAGCCAGAAGAGGACUGGCCACCCCUCAUAGCCUGAUUCCUCUCUAGGUUUCUUCCUAGGUUUUGGCCUUUCUAGGGAGAUUUUCCUAGCCACCGUGCUUCUACACCUGCAUUGCUUGCUGUUUGAGGUUUUAGGCUGUGUUUCUGUACAGCAAUUUGAGAUAUCAGCGGAGAUAAGAAGGGCUAUAUUUAAAAAAAUGAUUUGAUUUUAUUUGCUCACACCUUUCGAACUUCUUUGCCCAUGGGAGAAAUAUAUUUCGCCCCCCCCCGUAAGGGUUGUGGAACUGGUGGCAGUGAAGUCAGAUGCAGGAAAGCAGAAAUAGGUAAUAGCCGGAGCCGUUUAAUACAAAACCCACGGCAAUGCAAAAAGAACCUACAUGGGUACAAAACCCGACGCGCACCAGUGACAUAGAGUACAAGCACUUACAAACAAACAAUUCCACACAAGGACAUGGGUGGAGCAGAGGGUUAAAUACACAACAAUUAAUGAGGGAAAUGGAAACCAGGUGUGUAAGAAAACAAGACAAAACAAAUGGAAAAUGAAAGGUAGAUCGACGAUGGCUAGAAGACCGGUGACGCCGACCGCCGAACACCGCCCAAACAAGGAGAGGAAACGACUUUGGUGGAAGUCGUGACACCCCCAGUCCUUUUUCCACAAAACUUUAUCUAAAAUUGUUCUCUUUUAGCCAGGUAAAUACUGAUCGUCUUUUCUUAUUAUCUGCUAAGCCAUUGCAAUUAUAACUGGCUAUACUUAUUUAUAUGAUUAUGUUUUAAUGUUACUCCUGAAUCACCAUAAUAGUUUUUCUUGAGUGUAUUUGUCACGUGUACUCCCUCUCUGGCCUCUAUGUCACCAGGCUGCUCGUUAUGGCGCACACCUAUCACCAUCGUUAAGCACACCUGUGCGGCAUCAGACUUACCUGGACUGCAUCACUUCCUUGAUUACCUUCCCUAUUUUUGUCACUCUCUUUGGUUCCUUCCCCAGGCGUUAUUGUUUCUGUUCCUGUGUCAUGUCUGUGCGUUGUUCGGGUUUCCUAUUUUGUAUUAUGUUGUGUUUAUUUAUUAAAACACUCCCAGAACUGA